rnacentral:rRNA from 1 species
AGUGAACGCUGGCGGCAGGCCUAACACAUGCAAGUCGAGCGGCAGCGCGGGGGCAACCCUGGCGUCGAGCGGCGGACGGGUGAGGAAUUCGUCGGAAUCUGCCUUUUUGUGGGGGAUAACGUAGGGAAACUUACGCUAAUACCGCAUACGUCCUACGGGAGAAAGUGGGGGACCGCAAGGCCUCACGCAGAAAGAUGAGCCGACGACCGAUUAGCUAGUUGGUGGGGUAAAGGCCCACCAAGGCGACGAUCGGUAGCUGGUCUGAGAGGAUGAUCAGCCACACUGGAACUGAGACACGGCCCAGACUCCUACGGGAGGCAGCAGUGGGGAAUAUUGGACAAUGGGCGCAAGCCUGAUCCAGCCAUGCCGCGUGUGUGAAGAAGGCCUUCGGGUUGUAAAGCACUUUUGUCCGGAAAGAAAUCCCUGGAGCUAAUACCUUCGGGGGAUGACGGUACCGGAAGAAUAAGCACCGGCUAACUUCGUG